rnacentral:rRNA from 1 species
CCCUUAGAUGUCCUGGGCCGCACGCGCGUUACACUGAUGCAUUCAACGAGCUUAUAACCUUGGCCGAGAGGCCUGGGCAUCUUGUUAACGUGCAUCGUGAUAGGGAUAGAUUAUUGAAAUUAUUAAUCUUGAACGAGGAAUUCCUAGUAAACGCAGAUCAUCAAUCUGCAUUGAUUACGUCCCUGCCCUUUGUACACACCGCCCGUCGCACCUACCGAUUGGAUGGUCCGGUGAAGCCUCGGGAUUGUGGUUCUUGCCGCUUUAUUGUGGCGUGACCGCGAGAACUUGUCUAAACCUUAUCAUCUAGAGGAAGGUGAAGUCGUAACA